UGCUAAUACAUGCAAGUCGAGCGAACGGACGAGAAGCUUGCUUCUCUGAUGUUAGCGGCGGACGGGUGAGUAACACGUGGAUAACCUACCUAUAAGACUGGGAUAACUUCGGGAAACCGGAGCUAAUACCGGAUAAUAUUUUGAACCGCAUGGUUCAAAAGUGAAAGACGGUCUUGCUGUCACUUAUAGAUGGAUCCGCGCUGCAUUAGCUAGUUGGUAAGGUAACGGCUUACCAAGGCAACGAUGCAUAGCCGACCUGAGAGGGUGAUCGGCCACACUGGAACUGAGACACGGUCCAGACUCCUACGGGAGGCAGCAGUAGGGAAUCUUCCGCAAUGGGCGAAAGCCUGACGGAGCAACGCCGCGUGAGUGAUGAAGGUCUUCGGAUCGUAAAACUCUGUUAUUAGGGAAGAACAUAUGUGUAAGUAACUGUGCACAUCUUGACGGUACCUAAUCAGAAAGCCACGGCUAACUACGUGCCAGCAGCCGCGGUAAUACGUAGGUGGCAAGCGUUAUCCGGAAUUAUUGGGCGUAAAGCGCGCGUAGGCGGUUUUUUAAGUCUGAUGUGAAAGCCCACGGCUCAACCGUGGAGGGUCAUUGGAAACUGGAAAACUUGAGUGCAGAAGAGGAAAGUGGAAUUCCAUGUGUAGCGGUGAAAUGCGCAGAGAUAUGGAGGAACACCAGUGGCGAAGGCGACUUUCUGGUCUGUAACUGACGCUGAUGUGCGAAAGCGUGGGGAUCAAACAGGAUUAGAUACCCUGGUAGUCCACGCCGUAAACGAUGAGUGCUAAGUGUUAGGGGGUUUCCGCCCCUUAGUGCUGCAGCUAACGCAUUAAGCACUCCGCCUGGGGAGUACGACCGCAAGGUUGAAACUCAAAGGAAUUGACGGGGACCCGCACAAGCGGUGGAGCAUGUGGUUUAAUUCGAAGCAACGCGAAGAACCUUACCAAAUCUUGACAUCCUUUGACAACUCUAGAGAUAGAGCCUUCCCCUUCGGGGGACAAAGUGACAGGUGGUGCAUGGUUGUCGUCAGCUCGUGUCGUGAGAUGUUGGGUUAAGUCCCGCAACGAGCGCAACCCUUAAGCUUAGUUGCCAUCAUUAAGUUGGGCACUCUAAGUUGACUGCCGGUGACAAACCGGAGGAAGGUGGGGAUGACGUCAAAUCAUCAUGCCCCUUAUGAUUUGGGCUACACACGUGCUACAAUGGACAAUACAAAGGGCAGCGAAACCGCGAGGUCAAGCAAAUCCCAUAAAGUUGUUCUCAGUUCGGAUUGUAGUCUGCAACUCGACUACAUGAAGCUGGAAUCGCUAGUAAUCGUAGAUCAGCAUGCUACGGUGAAUACGUUCCCGGGUCUUGUACACACCGCCCGUCACACCACGAGAGUUUGUAACACCCGAAGCCGGUGGAGUAACCUUUUAGGAGCUAGCCGUCGAAGGUGGACAAAAGGGGG
rnacentral:rRNA from 1 species